AUGUCACUCUGGAAGGGAGACAGCAGCAACCAGGCUGUGCAAGUGAGUGGUGGAAGACGAAGGAUCUCUGAAGCCUCAUCAGUCAUCGGGACCAUCAGGAAUAGUGGUUUAAGAGGACGCUCGGCCUGGGGCACCAUACCGUGUCAUCGAGUUCCCUGCCUCGGAGAUAAAGAUUCCAGCUACAUGGGUAAACGCCUGGAUCAGCCACAAAUGUACCCCCAGUACACUUACUACUAUCCUCACUGUCUCUAAACCAAGGUAUGGCUCGACCCACAGUCUGGCAAGCAGUGUGUAUCCUGCACUUGGGAUGGGAAACAGGCAUGUGGAUUAUUAUUUACCUCCCCUUUCCCAUCACCUCUUCCUGCUUCUUUGAAAUUAGUAACAUAGCAAUGGAGUUAAUGAGGCAGAGGAGAAUAUGAGAAGAAAGCAAGCCCUGGGAUUGUGGUUUUUCUCUUCUAGCAGAGAUAAUAGUUUCGCUCGUGUUCCUUUGUUGUUAUUUGGCAACAUAAAGAUGUUCCUGAUAUCCGUAGUAAAGUGCUUUGCAGAUGGACAGGGUUGUUAGAAAGGAGAUUGUGACAGUGAUUAUCAGGAACAACAACGAUUUCAGAGGCUUUUCUGGUGAGCUGUUCUUUGUGGCUCUGAAAGGGUUUUUCUCACUGGAUAGGAUGCACCAGGGUGGGGGCAACUCAGACUUUCAAUCACAGAGUAUAGAAUGAAAGAAGGGUGUGGGAAGGUAUAGUACGACUAACUGACGUCCCGUAGAGUUUGUUUGGGUGUGCUUUUGUUUUUGUGUAUUUGCCUUACAUAUUUUAUUUUAUAUGGAGGGUGAUCAAGACUCUAGAGACUGAAGUUUGGAGCUUUACAAUAGAUGUUCUUUACUUUUCGAAGCUCUGUUUUUCUGUGCUGGCUGCCAUCAGGAGGCCUGUGGGUCUUGAAACGGGAUGAAAUAUAACUGAUGAUAAUUGGACACGAAUUGGUUAAAUACUUUAGUCUUGGGAUCCCUGGGUGGCGCAGUGGUUUGGCGCCUGCCUUUGGCCCAGGGCGUGAUCCUGGAGACCUGGGAUCGAAUCCCACGUGGGGCUCCCGGUGCAUGGAGCCUGCUUCUCCCUCUGCCUAUGUCUCUGCCUCUCUCUCUGUGUGUGACUAUCAUAAAUAAAUAAAAAAAAUUAAAAAAAUUUUUUAAUACU
rnacentral:lncRNA from 12 species